CAGCCGCCGCGGUAAUACCGGCGGCCCGAGUGGCGGUCACUAUUAUUGGGCUUAAAGCGUCCGUAGCCGGGGUGGGAAAUCCUCCGGGAAAUCUGGCCGCUUAACGGUCAGAAUGCCGGAGGAUACUCCCAGCCUAGGGAGCGGGGGAGGCCGAGGGGAUUCCCGGAGGAGGGGGGAAAUCCUAUAAUCCCGGGAGGACCACCUGUGGCGAAGGCGCUCGGCUGGAACGCGUCCGACGGUGAGGGACGAAGGCCAGGGGAGCAAACCGGAUUAGAUACCCGGGUAGUCCUGGCUGUAAACGAUGCGGACUUUGUGUCGGACAAGCUAUGAGCUUGUCCGGUGCCGGAGGGAAACCGUUAAGUCCGCCGCCUGGGGAGUACGGCCGCAAGGCUGAAACUUAAAGGAAUUGGCGGG
rnacentral:rRNA from 1 species